AUGAGCCAGAGCCCGAGCCCGAGCCCGAGUCCGGUGGUAAAGCUGGGGGCGUGGGGCGGCGACGACGGGGUCGCCCACGACAUCACGGUGGCGCCGCAGCGGCUGGAGAGCAUCACCAUCCGCUGGGGCAAGGUCCUCGACUCCGUCGGCUUCACCUACAGGGACAAGGACAAGCGGCUGCACACCGCCGGGCCCUGGGGCGGCGCCGGAGGGGAAAAGGGUGUGCCAGACACGAUCACCCUGGGGCCCUCGGAGUACAUAACUCAAGUGGACUGGUCGGUGGGCCCGUUCAAGCUCAAGGAAAUCGAGCACUGCAUCACCUCACUCAAGUUUGUGACCAACCAGGCCACCUACGGCCCGUUCGGCUACGGGGUGGACAGCACGCACUACAGCCUGCCCGUGCUCAACAAUGGCAGCAUCGUCGGCAUGUUCGGCCGUGCCGGAGACUACCUCCACGCCAUUGGCUUCUAUGUCACGGCCGAACAAGCCGAGGACGCUGUCCAUGUCUGA
rnacentral:rRNA from 1 species